UACGUAGGGGGCUAGCGUUGUCCGGAUUUAUUGGGCGUAAAGAGCGUGUAGGCGGCCAUGUAGGUCCGGUGUGAAAACUCGAGGCUUAACCUCGAGAUGUCAUCGGAAACCAUUUGGCUAGAGUCCGGAAGAGGAGAGUGGAAUUCCUGGUGUAGCGGUGAAAUGCGCAGAUAUCAGGAGGAACACCAAUUGCGAAGGCAGCUCGCUGGGACGUAACUGACGCUGAGGCGCGAAAGCGUGGGGAGCAAACAGG
rnacentral:rRNA from 1 species